ensembl:lncRNA
AUUCAUUGUAAUGGUGUACAGUCGGCAAUCGAACUAACCCAACCGUGGUCAGCUGUGAAUGGAAAGUCCAAGAAUCUACUGUUUGCUCAGUCCCACGAGGCUGGGUGUUUCCGGCUGGUCUUCUGUGUAACCUGAAAUCCUGAAAUCCAACGGAUGUGCUGGCAAGCAAGUACAAGCAAAGAGUCUUAAGUCUUCCAAUGUCCUUAUGUAGGCCUCCAGCAGGAGGUGUGGCAUAACACCACGCCUGGAUUUGGAACUUGCUCUGUCCCAGGCUGGCCAUGAACUCAGAGAUUUGCCUUUCUCAAUCUUGUGGAAUUAAAGGCAUGUACUACAUUGCAUGGGCCUACGCUUUUCAUGGUCACUAUGCCUCAAGUACUGAAUCAAAGGCGCGUGUCAUCCCAUGUCAAGGGUGAGCUACUGGGACUUGAACCCAGAGACUCACAUGUGCUAAGUAAGCAUAUGUUCUACCACUGAACUAUACGUCCAUCCCUAAACCAUGUCCGAGUUUCCUAGUUAUUUGAAAAUUAGGGUAAUGGCUAGUUCCCUCUUAGAGUAUUGGGUAAUAUAUAUAAAGUAUUUAGAUACCGCCUUGCACAGGGUUAUAGGCUAUGACCUCUAUCACAGAUGUCAUCCCCAAGAUACAGAUAGGUCUCUGCCAUUUCUGAGUUUCACAAAGGGACAUACAUUUUUUAAAAAAAUGCUACUUCAGAGGACAUUUAGGAGUGACAUCAAUGGAAAGAGACCUAAAGGAUCCGUACCUGCUGGCUCGAAGCCAGUGGCAGAUUCUCAUUGGACAUAGGACACAAAAUUUUCAAGACUCAGUUUCUCUCUGUAGCACUGGCUGUCCUAGAACAUGCUCUACAGACUGGCUGGUUUUGAACUCAGAGAUCCACCUGCCUCUGCCACCUUAGUGCUGGGAUUAAAGGCGCGCUUCACCAUUGCCCCAGCAGUUCACUAUUGUAGCCAAGGAUACCUGGACCCUGACCCCUGAACUCCCUGGAAAUACAUUUUAAAGCAACAUUUAAACAUCAAAUGAAUAAUGAGUUAUCAAGUUGUUUGGAGAGCCAUUCCAAGGUUUAGCAUACCCAGUGGAACAUUUAGAAAGGAAAAGUACUCUCGGGACGAGCUAUAAUUUUGAUCACUGUAUUUUUUAUUUCAAUGUCAUUACAAAUGUUACUUUGUUAGUGCAGUUUUCUUCUCCCCUUUCUGUUGGAAAAUAACACUUCCACUCAGUGCUAUCAUGAAAAGACAUCAAGUUCUUUUGGGUUAGGAGUAAACUAUGCAAAUAACCAUCAAAGGGAUUGGCUGGGGUGUUGAUGAUGUCACAGUCCCACCACCUAAGCCUAACAUUCUUAUUGGCUCUUAUAAGAGCCAGGGAGUGCUGGGAAGGUUCUAUAUCACACCACAGUUGCAGAAAGCCCUGAGCUUAUCUAAAUUUGCAUUUUUUUCUGGUUUCUGUAAAAUGUACUCAGAGCCUUUUGCAGGUAAGUCUGUGUAGCCCUUUAGAACAAUUCAUGUACAAUUCAUCAUCAAAUAAAGGUCUCAUGUUUUAA